GUCCAGGUGGCGAAAUUGGUACACGCGGCAGCUUGAGGAGCUGUGCUCUUUUGAGCAUGCGGGUUCGAGUCCCGCCCUGGGCACCA
rnacentral:tRNA from 1 species